CUUUUCCGGCGAUUAUCCCAGCCGGUGGAUGGCUCGGUUCGGGCGCCGACGAAGGGCGUGCCAAGCUGCGAAAAGCCCCGGGAAGGCGCAGGGUGCCUUUGAACCGGGGAUGCCCGAAUGGGAUAUCCUGUCCCUUCGGGGACGAUCCGUCAAGGAUCGGGAACGCGGGGAAUGGAAGCAUCUGAGUACCCGCAGGAAAAGAAAGCAAACGCGAUGCCGUUAGUAUGGGCGACUGAACACGGCAGAGUCCAAACCGAAUUCCUGGGCGAAAGCUCAGGAAGAUGUGGUGUAGUAGGACUCGGCCCAAUGCCUCUUGGGGGAAACCGAAGUGGCCUGGAACGGCCCGCCUUAGAGGGUGAGAGCCCCGUAGGUGUAACCUCAAAGGCUACGAGGCCGAGUAUCCUGAGUACCGUGGGUUGGAAUUCCCGCGGGAAGCUGGGAGUCAUCUACUCCCAAGACUAAAUACGUCCCGAAUCCGAUAGCGCAAUAGUAGGGUGACCGAAAGCUGAAAAGAACCCCAAGAAGGGGGGUGAAAAGAGCCUGAAAUCGGCUGGGGAUAGUGAGUAGUGGCUCCAAAGGCAACCACUCCGAAGGAAAGCACCGCGAGGUGCGAGUACGAGGAGUGGCAUGCCAGAGUCACUGCGUACGUGUUGAAGAACGGGCCAGGGAGUGUAGCUGAGUGGCGAGGCUAAGGGUUAUGCCCGAAGCCGGAGGGAAACCGAAUGCCCGCAGAUUUCGAGGGGCAGGGUGUGCUCGCCCUCAGUCACUCGGCUACGACCCGAAACCGGUCGAUCUAGGCGUGGGCAGGGUGAAGCGAGGCGAAAGCCUCGUGGAGGCCCGAAGGGGUGCUGAUGUGCAAAUCGUUCCUCUGACCCACGUCUAGGGGUGAAAGUCCAAUCGAGGCCGGAGAUAGCUGGUUCCCCCCGAAACAUACCGCAGUAUGACCUGCCCGGAGGUAGGUGGCGGGGUAGAGCACUGAUUGGAGGUCCCGGGGGGUAACACCCUCGCCCUCCUGUCAAACUCCGAAUCCGUCACCGCCGUAGAAGGGCGGAGUCAGGGCUGGGGGGUAAGCUCCCAGUCCGCGAGGGAGACAACCCAGACCGGGGUUAAGGCCCCUAAGUGUCGGCUAAGUGUUAACGCUAAAGGAGGUCCUGGGCCUAAGACAGCUGGGAGGUAGGCUUAGAAGCAGCCAUCCUUUAAAGAGUGCGUAACAGCUCACCAGCCGAGGCUCAGGGCGCCGAAAAUGGACGGGGCUCAAGCCGACCGCCGAUACCCCGGGGCACCGAAAGGUGAUCCGGUAGGGGGGCGUACCGAUGGCGCAGAAGCUCGGGUGUGAGCUCGGGUGGAGCCGUCGGUAACGAAUAUCCUGGCGGUAGUAGCAGCUUAGUCGGGUGAGAAUCCCGACCGCCGGAAGGGCAAGGGUUCCAUGGCCAUGUUCGUCAGCCAUGGGUUAGUCGGUCCUAAGACGAGUCGUAACUCGACUCCGUCGAAAAGGGAAGCGGGUUAAUAUUCCCGCACCGCCGUCCGCUGAUCCCGACGCUUCGGGAUAGGCCGAGCUGGUUCGCCAGCCAGUCUAAGCGUCGAAGCCUCCGGAGGUCCGUAAUGGAGAGAAGGAGGUGAAGGCGUGAUGGCGUAAGUCGGCCGACUCCUGGAGCCCGUGAAAAGGGGGACGGUUGGACCGUACCGAGAACCGACACAGGUGCCCUGGCUGAGCAAGCCAAGGCGUGGCGGAACACUCUGGCCGAGGGAAUUCGGCAAAUUGGCCCUGUAUCUUCGGUAGAAGGGGUGCCUGCGGUUGAGUAGACCGCAGGUCGCAGUGCCUAGGGGGGAGCGACUGUUUAAUAAAAACACAGGGGGUCGCUAACCGGUAACGGCUAGUACGACCCCUGAGUCCUGCCCAGUGCGGGUACCUGAAAGCCCAGUCCAAUGGGUCGAAGGGCCCGUAAACGGCGGGGGUAACUAUGACCCUCUUAAGGUAGCGUAAUACCUUGCCGCUUAAUUGGCGGCUUGCAUGAACGGAUUAACGACUCCCCCACUGUCCCCGGCCAGAAUCCGGCGAACCCGACUUCCCAGUGAAGAGUCUGGGGACCCCCGUUGGGAAGCGAAGACCCUGUGGAGCUUUACUGCAGCCUGCCGUUGCGGUAUGGUUGGGGGUGCGCAGUGUAGGUGGGAGGCUUCGAAGCCCCGUCUCCGGGCGGGGUGGAGCCGUCGAUGAGACACCACCCACCUCCAACCGUACCGCUAACCGCUUCGGCGGGACAUCGGUAGGUGGGCAGUUUGGGUGGGGCGCCACUCCCCCGAAAAGGUAUCGGGGGAGCCCAAAGGUCGGCUCAGGCGGGUCAGAACUCCGCCGUAGAGUGCAAGGGCAAAAGCCGGCCUGACGUGAUUCCGCACAAUAAGGAAUCACGAGCCGAAAGGCGGGCCUAGCGAACCAUCCUGGCCUAUUGGUGAGGCCGGAUGACGACAGAAAAGCUACCCCAGGGAUAACAGAGUUGUCCCCGGCGAGAGUACAUAUCGACCCGGGGGCUUGCUACCUCGAUGUCGGCUCUCCCCAUCCUGGCCGUGCAGCAGCGGCCAAGGGUGAGGUUGUUCGCCUAUUAAAGGGGAUCGUGAGCUGGGUUUAGACCGUCGUGAGACAGGUCGGUUGCUAUCUAACGGGGGUGUCUGGGAGGCUGAGGGGAAGGAGGCUCUAGUACGAGAGGAACGAGCCUCCGGCGCCACUGGUUUACCGGUUGUUCGGCAGGGCAUUGCCGGGCAGCUACGCGCUACGCGGUUAAAGGCUGAAAGCAUCUAAGCCUGAAACCGCCCCCGAAAAGAGCCUCCCCUAAGGGCGCCGCUAGAAGAGCGGUUUGAUAGGGCCGGGGUGUAAGCGGUGAGGCAACGAGCCGUUCAGCCCGCGGUCACUAAAGCCCGUGCCGGUGUUG
rfam:Archaeoglobus sulfaticallidus PM70-1, complete genome.